UACGUAGGGUGCAAGCGUUGUCCGGAAUUAUUGGGCGUAAAGAGCUCGUAGGCGGUCUGUCGCGUCGGAUGUGAAAACCCAGGGCUCAACCCUGGGCCUGCAUUCGAUACGGGCAGACUAGAGUUCGGUAGGGGAGACUGGAAUUCCUGGUGUAGCGGUGAAAUGCGCAGAUAUCAGGAGGAACACCGGUGGCGAAGGCGGAUCUCUGGGCCGAUACUGACGCUGAGGAGCGAAAGCGUGGGGAGCGAACAGG
rnacentral:rRNA from 1 species